CCAGGGACAAAAGCAGGACUUGGUGGCCAGGGACUUGUGACCAGCAAGGAGGUGGAGCUCUGCACUAGGUCCAGAAGCCUGCCGCACGCGGAGCCUGGUAACUCACUUCGCACACGGAAGAGCAGGGCACCCAGAGAGCGAGAGCUGCAUGAACUGGGGUGUCGUGCUCCCCAGGAGAACCACUCCUCAGCGGGGUCCUGGGCCCGUCCACACCUGUACCCACUUCCACCAACUGUCUCCCCAGCCCGUGUCUGCUGCCAACGUUUCCAGAGACUCCGGGCCUCUGUGUCUCGGCCACCUCUGGGCUGGGAUGUGGGGUGUCCAGUACUGACCCUUCUGAGACCUGGGGGAGCGAUGAGACCGGGGAUCUAACAGGUGUGACCCCAGGACGCACACAGCUCACCUGCUGGACCCCAGGCCAGAGGGCUUCCUUCUUCUCCUCUCAGAGUCAUGAACCUCUCCUGGGUCAUUCUGGGUAAGGAAUGUAAUCCAGGGGUUAAUCAGCGGAGGCAGGAG